rnacentral:rRNA from 1 species
GACGAACGCUGGCGGCGUGCUUAACACAUGCAAGUCGAACGGAAAGGCCCUGCUUUUGUGGGGUGCUCGAGUGGCGAACGGGUGAGUAACACGUGAGUAACCUGCCCUUGACUUUGGGAUAACUUCAGGAAACUGGGGCUAAUACCGGAUAGGAGCUCCUGCUGCAUGGUGGGGGUUGGAAAGUUUCGGCGGUUGGGGAUGGACUCGCGGCUUAUCAGCUUGUUGGUGGGGUAGUGGCUUACCAAGGCUUUGACGGGUAGCCGGCCUGGGAGGGUGACCGGCCACGUUGGGACUGGGAUACGGCCCAGACUCCUACGGGAGGCAGCAGUGGGGAAUAUUGCACAAUGGGCGGAAGCCUGAUGCAGCAACGCCGCGUGCGGGAUGACGGCCUUCGGGUUGUAAACCGCUUUCGCCUGUGACGAAGCGUGAGUGACGGUAAUGGGUAAAGAAGCACCGGCUAACUACGUG